UACGAAGGGUGCUAGCGUUGUUCGGAAUCACUGGGCGUAAAGCGUGCGUAGGCGGCUUGACAAGUCAGAGGUGAAAUGCCGGGGCUUAACCCCGGAACUGCCUUUGAAACUGUCUGGCUGGAGUGUCGGAGGGGGAUAGCGGAAUUUCUAAUGUAGCGGUGAAAUGCGUAGAUAUUAGAAGGAACACCGGUGGCGAAGGCGGCUAUCUGGACGACAACUGACGCUGAGGCACGAAAGCGUGGGGGAUCAACAGG
rnacentral:rRNA from 1 species